rnacentral:rRNA from 1 species
AAAGCUAUUUAGGUAGCGCCUCGUGAAUUCAUCUCCGGGGGUAGAGCACUGUUUCGGCAAGGGGGUCAUCCCGACUUACCAACCCGAUGCAAACUGCGAAUACCGGAGAAUGUUAUCACGGGAGACACACGGCGGGUGCUAACGUCCGUCGUGAAGAGGGAAACAACCCAGACCGCCAGCUAAGGUCCCAAAGUCAUGGUUAAGUGGGAAACGAUGUGGGAAGGCCCAGACAGCCAGGAUGUUGGCUUAGAAGCAGCCAUCAUUUAAAGAAAGCGUAAUAGCUCACUGGUCGAGUCGGCCUGCGCGGAAGAUGUAACGGGGCUAAACCAUG